UACGUAGGGGGCAAGCGUUGUCCGGAUUCAUUGGGCGUAAAGAGCUCGUAGGCGGCUUGGCAAGUCGGGUGUGAAAACUCCAGGCUCAACCUGGAGACGCCACCCGAUACUGCUAUGGCUUGAGUCCGGUAGGGGACCACGGAAUUCCUGGUGUAGCGGUGAAAUGCGCAGAUAUCAGGAGGAACACCGGUGGCGAAGGCGCCACUCUGGGCCGAAACUGACGCUGAGGAGCGAAAGCGUGGGUAGCAAACAGG
rnacentral:rRNA from 1 species